CAAUAGCGUAUAUUUAAGUUGUUGCAGUUAAAAAGCUCGUAGUUGGAUUUCGGGUGGGACGCAGCGGUCUCGCAUUGCGUUUGUACUGCUGCAGCCCUCCUUCUUGCCGGGGGCGGCCUCUCGGACUUCACUGUCUGGGGGUCAGAAUCGGCGAUGUUACUUUGAGUAAAUUAGAGUGAUCAAAGCAAGCUUACGCUCUGAAUAUAAUAGCAUGGGAUAACACGACAGGACUCUGGCCUAUCGUGUUGGUCUAUAGGACCAGAGUAAUGAUUAAGAGGGACAGUCGGGGGCAUUCGUAUUCCGUUGUCAGAGGUGAAAUUCUUGGAUUUACGGAAGACGAACAUCUGCGAAAGCAUUUGCCAAGGAUGUUUNCAUUG
rnacentral:rRNA from 1 species